UUUUCCCCUGAGUGCAGAAUUCGUUUGGAGAAAUGAUGGAAUUACUUGCUGCAACUGGCCAGCCUGCUUCAUUUACAUCAGAAGAUGGCUUGUUGGAAAAUGGUUAGCAUGACAAUUACUUUGAUUACUGUUUGUAUGGGACUAUAGACAUACCCAUUGGUAUGACUCAGAGGAAAAUCCAGCUAGCCAUUGAUUUGCACAGUCACAGGAUAUACAGAGGUUAAGAUGUGGGAUCCACCAAACGGUCAAACAACUUCCUAGCCAGGAUGGAAAGCAUAGAAACUUCGUUAGUUGAUCUGCCCGUGGGAUUCUGAUUCAGACCAACAGAUGAGGAACUUGUCAAUCAAUACUUGAAGACACUUGGCAACGAAACAGUUGAACAGAUAAUUCCCGAGGUUGAUGUCCAUCAAUUGCCAUCUUGGGAUUUACCUGGCAAGAUAAAUGAACUAUCAAGGAUAAAGUCAGAUGGUGAUGAAUGGUUCUUCUUCAGCUGUCUGCAAAAUAAGUACCCUCAAAGUAAACGGGCGAGAAGGACAUGACUAUGGCUCUUGGAAGCCAACGGGCAAAACUCACAAAAUCAGGACACAAGACAGGAAGAACACAUUAGGUCUGAAGAAAAUUUUGGUUUUCAAAAAACGUGAAAGUCCCAAAAUCAUACCAAAUGGGUACUGCAUGAAUACAGCAUCCUCAAUGACCAGGUACUCAAUCUUCUUGCUUUCCCUUCCUCUUGCAGUGAACUUUGGCACAAACCAUAUUUGAAUUAUUUAUGGAUACAUAUGUGUGAUUAAGGUCACUAAAUGAAUGUUCUCCAUUCCAGGAACUUUCAUUUCAGAGCCCUUCUGAUUUUAUUUUCUUCUCUGACAUAUUUUUUUGGAGUAGGUACUGAGCAACUUAUUUUUAGUUGCUCUGACUUCUGCUUCUAUUUUUUUCCCUGAAAUGAACUAAGCUCUUAUUAAACUUCUAUUGAUUGGCUUGCAGCUAACACAAUUUUACCAAGUAAAAUACCCUGACUUUUUCUUCUUUUGUUCUUCUUUUCUCUCCAAAUUUUGCUAAUGCUAUAGCUAUCAAUUGCACCAUUAACUCUAUUUUGAAGCUGAGCAAGGAUUCUCUUUUUAAAAGGGGUCUUAUAAGUUGAACACGGAGUGUUACCAAAGUUGUUAUGUUGACUGACAUUUGAUUCUUCGAGGUUGGUUUUAUUAUUCCUUUGGUAUUAAACCGCGAAGUACUUUCAGAGAUCAGUGAGUAGGCUUGAUUAAAUUGUUAACUUGUCUUUUGUCUUUCUAUAUCAGAGUGACUUCGUUCUUUACCACUUGAAGAAAAACCCUGAUGAGAAUGGUAAGAAAAAUUCAGACUGCUGCUUCUCAUUUCUCCUUUGCUUAAAAUCAUCUGUAAGGAGGAGGCCAAUUCCAUCAGCGAUUUCAGAAUAAGACCACAGAAAUUAUAAUAAUCUCGUUGAGCUAUUAGAAAGAAAAGGUAAACGCUUUGCUUUGAUGAAACUACUUUAAAAGCACUUCAAAAUGCCCUCUUACAUAAGAAAUCAUCCGGCAAUCCACAUGGUGAUCUUUGAUCAUUUCUUAAGAAUAUGAAUAUCACAAACAAGAUGAAUGAAGUCAUCUAAAAUCCCGUUCAUGAUGGUUCUAGGUGUGAUAGUUUCAGAAUCAGCAUGCUCGGACUCUGUAAAUCCUUGGUCGAUGAAUCGCAUGCAUUUCAAGGGGGUUUACUCAAUAAUCGUCUUGGAGGAUGAAGCGAGGAAGGCUCUCGCAAAGGAUCAAAAUCACUAUUACAGACUUGAGAGCGAGACGAAAUUCUAUUCUGACAUGUCUCUAAUUGUUAAAGCGUUUUUCGAGUUUGAGUCCAUACAUGCCCCAGGCGUUAAUGGUUCAAAUUGGAAGUUCUCUAUGGAAAAUGCAUUACUGCUUAUACAAAGAGAGAUGAUCAUGUGUGGAAGACCUAUAAACUUGUAAAGUGUUUGAUUCUCAACGAAUAAGAUGAGAGGGAAAACAAGAACGUGGUCAGUUACAAAUUAGAUUGUCUAGGCAAAAUAAGAUCAAAAAAAAAAAGUUGAUAAAUCUUGUCAUAAAUUUGAAAUUUAUCAUAUGUGAACUCUUGAGAUCUCUCUCAUUCAUAUUGCUAGUGCUGCAGCUGCCGGUAUGCAAAUUGGACAAUAAUCUUCACCUUGAGACAUUUUGCAAUGCAGCAGUAGCAAAAGCAAUGGCAGCAAUCCAACUUUCCGAGCCAAUCUUGAUCAAGGAAAGGCAUCCUGCAAUGAUGUUAGCAAAACCAAGACUAUGACGAGUGGUAGAUAUAUUCAAAUCAACCUAGAUUUGUCUUAAAAGUUAUGUACAGAUCAAAAAAUUUGCCAUUCUUCUUUUAUCUUGAUGUUUAUACAUAACAAAGCAACUCUUAUAAGUCAAAUACAAUAUGUUUUGGGCCUUGAAUUCUGUUGAUUAGAUGUGCUUCGGAGCACAUUUCUAGUUGUAUGCCCUUUUAUUUUUCUGAAUCCUUUAAUGCUCAAUGUAACUUCUGGAU